AUUGAACGCUGGCGGCAGGCCUAACACAUGCAAGUCGAACGAGUGGCGCACGGGUGAGUAAUGUCUGGGAAACUGCGUUAUGGAGGGGGAUCACUACUGGACACUAUAGCUAAUACCGCAUACCCUCGUAUAUGCCCAUAUGGGAUUAUCUUGUGGGUGGGGUAAAGGCUCACCUAGGCGACGCUCCCUAGCUGGUCUGAGAGGAUGACCAGCCACACUGGAACUGAGACACGGCCCAGACUCCUACGGGAGGCAGCAGUGGGGAAUAUUGCACAAUGGGCGCAAGCCUGAUGCAGCCAUGCCGCGGGUAUGAAGAAGGCCUUAGGGUUGUAAAGUACUUUCAGUGGGGAGGCGUUACCCGCAGAAGAAGCACCGGCUAACUCCGUGCCAGCAGCCGCGGUAAUAC
rnacentral:rRNA from 1 species